rnacentral:rRNA from 1 species
GAAUGCUGACAUAAGUAACGAUAAAGCGGGUGAAAAGCCCGCUCGCCGGAAGACCAAGGGUUCCUGUCCAACGUUAAUCGGGGCAGGGUGAGUCGACCCCUAAGGCGAGGCCGAAAGGCGUAGUCGAUGGGAAACGGGUUAAUAUUCCCGUACUUGGUGUUACUGCGAAGGGGGGACGGAGAAGGCUAUGUUGGCCGGGCGACGGUUGUCCCGGUUUAAGCGUGUAGGUGUGUGUUCCAGGUAAAUCCGGUUCACUUUAACACUGAGGCGUGACGACGAGGCACUACGGUGCUGAAGCAACAAAUGCCCUGCUUCCAGGAAAAGCCUCUAAGCAUCAGGUAACACGAAAUCGUACCCCAAACCGACACAGGUGGUCAGGUAGAGAAUACCAAGGCGCUUGAGAGAACUCGGGUGAAGGAACUAGGCAAA